rnacentral:sRNA from 1 species
CUAAACUUUUAUUAAUCACUCACACAUAUCGGCACAUCUUCCGGGGUGCCCAGCAGUUUUUCGCGAAACUGUAACGCCUAUGGCGUUGUCUGGGUCGGUAAGAUGGGAUAUGUGGACGCCUAAC